GCCUUAAUGGUGAAAUGGUAGACACGCGAGACUCAAAAUCUUGGGCUAAAGAGCGUGGAGGUUCGAGUCCUCUUCAAGGCA
rnacentral:tRNA from 1 species